GGUGAACCUGCGGAAGGAUCAUUGUCGAAUCCAACACGGACAGACCCGCGAAUCGUCGUUCU
rnacentral:rRNA from 3 species